rnacentral:tRNA from 1 species
GCGCCGGUGGUGUAAGGCGAACAUCGCUACCCGGAAAGCAGAAGAUGUGGAUUCGAGUCCCGCAUGGCGCA